AAUAACUGAAAUAGUGAUCAUUAGUGCUAUGGUUAGUUAAGUUAGCUAAAGAACGAUUAAUUUCUCAAAAAACUGAAAGGGAUUCACUCUAUUUUUCUUUUCAGUGACUUCCCAAAAAAGCAUCCCAAGUAGGAUUGUCAUUUUUCUAGUAAAUUUAAAAUAGUAUGGCAAAAUGAACCAUCAAUCAUAGUUAAAUAACACAAGAAAAUGUCAUUCUAGGGAACAGUGUGAAAAGUAGCAUGUUCUAAAUUUAUCUAUAUGAGAUCCAAUCACUGUAUACAGCUUAACAAAAAUUUAUCAACUAUGCUUCCUACUGGUAUGAAUAAUUUUCACUGAAUAAUUUAUAAAACUCUACACACGAUUCAUAUCAAAUAAACUUGUAAAUGGCCAGAACAUUAGUGAACAGAUGUGAAUGGUUCAGAUCUUAGUAAAUGUGUUUUCAGUGCAAAAUGCCAUUUCUAUGUUUUAGAACGGUAGGCUUCAAAAAAUGAAGUGUGCAUAUGCCAGUGGAAGGACAAGGUGAACCCUGGAAGUGCAAGAGGCUCGUGACAUGUGUUUCUCAGAAGAUGAAUUAGAAUCACUAUGAUGAGAAGGUGAACCAGAAACUCUAGGACCGGAUGAACUCGACAAAGUGAAUGGGAUAGCUGCCUACUUCUAAAGACUUGGUUAAGUCAAGAUCAUGCAAAAUCAAGAGAUAUCCAGAGGACGUUGAGAUCAACAUUUUGGAACAAUCUGGUGUUAAUCUCAUUCUCAUGAGAAAACGUGUGUGAAAGAAUUUCUUAUGUGGACACCCAU